UACGAAGGGUGCAAGCGUUACUCGGAAUUACUGGGCGUAAAGCGUGCGUAGGUGGUUUGUUAAGUCUGAUGUGAAAGCCCUGGGCUCAACCUGGGAAUUGCAUUGGAUACUGGCAAGCUAGAGUGCGGUAGAGGAUGGCGGAAUUCCCGGUGUAGCAGUGAAAUGCGUAGAGAUCGGGAGGAACAUCUGUGGCGAAGGCGGCCAUCUGGACCAGCACUGACACUGAGGCACGAAAGCGUGGGGAGCAACAGGG
rnacentral:rRNA from 1 species